GACAAGGCAAACUGUGGGUUUCCGUGCCAACGUUUGACUGUCCGUCUUAUAUGAAAUUUUUUUAUAAUUAGUAUUUUCAUUGUUGUUAGAUGAUAAAACAUGAUUAAUACUUUAUGCAUGACUUAUCUUUUUUAAUUUUUUCAAAUAAAACGGACAAUCAAACGUUGACGCGGAAACCCACGGUUUGUCUUUUU
rfam:Oryza nivara chromosome 1, whole genome shotgun sequence.